AGAGUUUGAUCCGGCUCAGGAUGAACGCUAGCUACAGGCUUAACACAUGCAAGUCGAGGGGCAUCGCGGGGUAGCAAUACCCUGGCGGCGACCGGCGCACGGGUGAGUAACACGUAUCCAACCUGCCUUCAGCUCGGGGAUAGCCCUCUGAAAGGAGGAUUAAUACCCGAUGUGUUUGGUAUGGGACAUCCCAUUCCAAAUAAAGAUUUAUCGGCUGAUGAUGGGGAUGCGUAUGAUUAGCUUGUUGGCGGGGUAACGGCCCACCAAGGCGACGAUCAUUAGGGGUUCUGAGAGGAAGGUCCCCCACAUAGGAACUGAGACACGGUCCUAACUCCUACGGGAGGCAGCAGUGAGGAAUAUUGGUCAAUGGCCGUAAGGCUGAACCAGCCAAGUAGCGUGAAGGAAUGACUGCCCUACGGGUUGUAAACUUCUUUUACGGGAGGAUAAAGUGUGUCACGUGUGGCAUAUUGCAGGUAUCCCGUGAAUAAGCAUCGGCUAAUUCCGUGCCAGCAGCCGC
rnacentral:rRNA from 1 species